rnacentral:rRNA from 1 species
CACGUAGGGGCCAACCGUUGUUCGGAUUCAUUGGGCGUAAAGGGUGCGUAGGCGGCGGGGCAAGUCAGGUGUGAAAUCUCGGGGCUCAACCCCCGAAACUGCACUUGAUACUGCCUUGCUCGAGUACUGGAGAGGAGACUGGAAUUUACGGUGUAGCAGUGAAAUGCGUAGAUAUCGUAAGGAAGACCAGUGGCGAAGGCGAGUCUCUGGACAGUUACUGACGCUGAGGCACGAAGGCCAGGGGAGCAAACGGG